rnacentral:snRNA from 1 species
AUCCAAGUGCACGGGCAUUACGCAUAUCAGUGAGGAUUCGUCCGAGAUUGCGUUUUUGCUAGUUGAAAACUACAACUACUUGACUGCUCCUGUUGGUCUUCGUGAUCGGCAGGGAAUUUUUGAAAACCAAAAGUCUGU